rnacentral:lncRNA from 1 species
UCCCACUUGUCAGGUUCUGAUAAGUGGGUCCCAACUAUAAGGCCCAGAUUCUUCAUAUUUCAAUUUGACAGUAAGAAAAUAACCAGUAAUUAAAUUGGCAAGAAGAAAACACACAUGAUACCCCAAAUAACAAUAGCCAGAUUCAGUACAAGCUCUACAAAUGACACGUACUACAAGUUGUAACACAUACAGUACUUUACAACAAGUUACAAGCUCUACAAGUAUGGGAAUCACAGUUACAAGCUAUACAAGUGUUUUCUUCUUCUGCAUGUAGCUCCAUCAAUAGCGAUCAAAUGCCGGACUCACUGGAGGGCCAUAGUCAGGAUGCCCUGUUACGUGAAUCAGCUGAUAAGAAUUAGAAACACUUGAGCCAAUAUAUUAUGAAAAUUCCAUUCAAAAAAGGAGUAAAGGACAUUCUUUGUUUCAUCACGUUACAAAUUUAAAGUUUUUAAUACUUUUUUUUCUAUUAGCAAACUGAAUAUGCUACUUCCUGAUUCAUGGCUGCAUAGUCCAGCUAGCUACACCAGUUUGCUCAUGCGAAAAUUAGAAAAAAAAAGAACCAAGAAAUAAAUCAACACUAAUUUCUCUAACACGUACAGUAACUUGCUGAUAUAACUUUCUCCUAAUUGCAUUCUCAUAUGACUGGGCCAACAUGUGAUGUUACCUUUCGGUGUGCUAUUGGCCAAAGCAAAGGAAGCCUCACCCACGCCUUGUACUAAUGCAACUAGCUUAAUUGAUUUUUCCUACUUAGAAAUAGUACUACACUUUGAUUUGCUUCAACUCAGCCGGAAGCUUCAUACUAGCACAACCAGCAACACACUAGCACUAACCGGAACGAAUCAGGAGGCCAGCGAAGGGACACCAGGUCGAUCCCACAAAUAAAACACCAGCGAUUGAGAAAGAUACCUCGAUACCCAGCCGCAAGCAGACCCGUUGAGAAAAACACUUAAGCUGCACCACCACCAAUGGAUACGGGAUAGCAGGCCAGGGCCAGACGCUGCGGUAGCAGCUCCAGCGACGAUAGCAGAAGGACCAAGCGUCCAGCGGCGGCUGCGACUAUGGAUGCCAGAGAAGCCACUGACAACAACAUCAGCAAAGGACUCCUACCCGACGUUGUCUACAACAAUCAGCAAACCAAAAAUCAGAACAAAUACUUCAAUCUCAUAAGAAGUUUAAAAAAUACUAUAGCAGGACCUAAUUAAUGCUGCAAAUUAUAUUAUGGAUGCAUACAUUGUGAUGCAAAAAAUGAUUAGAUCAUCAUAAAACGACAUUCAACAUCUAUGUAAUAAAUUGCUA